rnacentral:rRNA from 1 species
AUUGAACGCUGGCGGCAGGCCUAACACAUGCAAGUCGAACGAGUGGCGGACGGGUGAGUAAUGUCUGGGAAACUGCCUGCUGGAGGGGGAUAACUACUGGAAACGGUAGCUAAUACCGCAUACCAUCGGUGGGGCCCAGAUGGGAUUAGCUAGUAGGUGGGGUAAAGGCUCACCUAGGCGACGAUCCCUAGCUGGUCUGAGAGGAUGAACCGCCACACUGGAACUGAGCCACGGUCCCGCCUCCUACGGGAGGCAGCAGUGGGGAAUAUUGCACAAUGAGCGCAAGCCUGAUGCAGCCAUGCCGCGUGUAUUAAGUAGGCCUUCGGGUUGUAAAGUACUUGCAGCGGGGAGGCGUUACCCGCAGAAGAAGCACCAGCUAACUCCGUGCCAGCAGCCGCGGUAAUAC